rnacentral:rRNA from 1 species
UACGUAGGGUGCGAGCGUUGUCCGGAUUUAUUGGGCGUAAAGAGCUCGUAGGCGGCUUGUUACGUCGUUCGUGAAAACUUGGGGCUCAACCCCAAGCUUGCGGUCGAUACGGGCAGGCUAGAGUUCGGUAGGGGGAGACUGGAAUUCCUGGUGUAGCGGUGAAAUGCGCAGAUAUCAGGAGGAACACCGGUGGCGAAGGCGGCUUCCUGGACCGACACUGACGCUGAGGCGCGAAAGCUAGGGGAGCAAACGGG